rnacentral:rRNA from 1 species
UAGUGGCAGACGGGAUAGUAACGCGUGGGAAUUUGCCCAAUAGUACGGAAUAACUGUGGGAAACUGCAGCUAAUACCGUAUACGCCCUCCGGGGGAAAGAUUUAUCGGCAAAGGAUGAGCCCGCGUUGGAUUAGGUAGUUGGUGGGGUAAUGGCCUACCAAGCCGACGAUCCAUAGCUGGUCUGAGAGGAUGAUCAGCCACAUUGGGACUGAGACACGGCCCAAACUCC